GCCUAACACAUGCAAGUCGAGCGGUAGAGAGAAGCUUGCUUCUCUUGAGAGCGGCGGACGGGUGAGUAAUGCCUAGGAAUCUGCCUGGUAGUGGGGGAUAACGUUCGGAAACGAACGCUAAUACCGCAUACGUCCUACGGGAGAAAGCAGGGGACCUUCGGGCCUUGCGCUAUCAGAUGAGCCUAGGUCGGAUUAGCUAGUUGGUGAGGUAAUGGCUCACCAAGGCGACGAUCCGUAACUGGUCUGAGAGGAUGAUCAGUCACACUGGAACUGAGACACGGUCCAGACUCCUACGGGAGGCAGCAGUGGGGAAUAUUGGACAAUGGGCGAAAGCCUGAUCCAGCCAUGCCGCGUGUGUGAAGAAGGUCUUCGGAUUGUAAAGCACUUUAAGUUGGGAGGAAGGGCAGUUACCUAAUACGUGAUUGUUUUGACGUUACCGACAGAAUAAGCACCGGCUAACUCUGUGCCAGCAGCCGCGGUAAUACAGAGGGUGCAAGCGUUAAUCGGAAUUACUGGGCGUAAAGCGCGCGUAGGUGGUUUGUUAAGUUGGAUGUGAAAUCCCCGGGCUCAACCUGGGAACUGCAUUCAAAACUGACUGACUAGAGUAUGGUAGAGGGUGGUGGAAUUUCCUGUGUAGCGGUGAAAUGCGUAGAUAUAGGAAGGAACACCAGUGGCGAAGGCGACCACCUGGACUAAUACUGACACUGAGGUGCGAAAGCGUGGGGAGCAAACAGGAUUAGAUACCCUGGUAGUCCACGCCGUAAACGAUGUCAACUAGCCGUUGGAAGCCUUGAGCUUUUAGUGGCGCAGCUAACGCAUUAAGUUGACCGCCUGGGGAGUACGGCCGCAAGGUU
rnacentral:rRNA from 1 species